rnacentral:rRNA from 1 species
UACAGAGGCCUCGAGCGUUAGGCGGAAUCACUGGGCUUAAAGCGUGUGUAGGCGGACUUCUAAGUACCUUGUGAAAUCCCACGGCUCACCCGUGGAACUGCUCGGUAUACUGGUCGUCUUGAGCCUUCUAGGGGCGAGUGGAACAAAUGGUGGAGCGGUGAAAUGCGUAGAUAUUACCAGGAACACCAAUGGCGAAGGCAGCUUGCUGGGCCACUCCUGACACUGAGGUAUGAAAGCGUGGGGGAGCGAACAGG